CGCUGGCGAGGCGCCGGCGCUGGCCGCGGGGCCGCUGCAGCGCGGGGCGGGACGGCCAGGGUCCGCGGGGUGGCUCCGCAGGCCCCGCAGGCUCCGCAGCGAGAGGGGCGCCCCGCUCACCAGUCACUGGAGCCGCUGCCGGCGCGGCCCGGGCCCACACCGGCGUGGUCCAGCAGCAGCCCGUCGCGGUGUUGGACCCGUGUCGUCGCUCCCCGGGCUCGACCUGCCCUCUUGUCGAGGUUCUCGCCGCCAACAGCGAUCGCAGUCAGCCGUUCAACACCGAGAGACGCCGAUGAGCCGGCAGUCGGCCAUGUCGUUUGGCGGCCUGCUGGCGGCAGCAGACAGCACGACCCGCGUUGAAGUCUCCCCGACGCCCCGCUGGACCAGCCCCGCAGCAGCCCAGCCGGCAGCGGCGCCGCACCGCCGACCCGCCGCCGCAAUGGCGCCGCGUAUCGUAUAGAGCGCCGCGGUGUGGCGCCGCCAUUGCGGACGGGGACCGACGUUUCGCUGAGGACGCGACGGAUUAACAGCAACGCGUCCUCAUCAUCACCGUAUCAUCAUCGAACAGAUUCGCUGCGUCGCAGUUCGCGUCACACGGUCCCGACAUGCGCCACGCCCAUCUUGAAGCGACGACCAGCCAACUCAACUCAUCUGCGUUCGCUGCCAAAGCGCGCGAAAAGGGAAUUAAAAUUUAAAAAAAAAACUCUUCACACAU